AACGUAGGACGCAAGCGUUAUCCGGAGUUACUGGGCGUAAAGGGCGUGCAGGCGGUCGGGUAAGUUCGCCGUGAAAGACCCCGGCUCAACCGGGGGAAGUCGGGGGAGACUGCCGGACUGGAGGGCGGUAGAGGAGCAGGGAAUUCCGGGUGUAGUGGUGAAAUGCGUAGAGAUCCGGAGGAACACCAGUGGCGAAGGCGCUGCUCUGGGCCGCAGCUGACGCUGAGACGCGACAGCAUGGGGAGCGAACGGG
rnacentral:rRNA from 1 species